rnacentral:rRNA from 1 species
CUACGGGCUGCUGCAGACGAGAAAACUUUGCAAUGUGCGAAAGCACGACAAGGUUAAUCCGAGUGGUUUGUGCUAAACGAACCUUUUGACAGUCCUAGAAACACUGUUGAAUAAGGGGUGGGCAUAGUUCUGGUGUCAGCCGCCGCGGUAAAACCAGCACCUCAAGUGGUCAGGAUGAUUAUUGGGCCUAAAGCAUCCGUAGCCGGCUCUGUAAGUUUUCGGUUAAAUCUGUACGCUCAACGUACAGGCUGCCGGGAAUACUGCAGAGCUAGGGAGUGGGAGAGGUAGACGGUACUCGGUAGGAAGGGGUAAAAUCCUUUGAUCUAUUGAUGACCACCUGUGGCGAAGGCGGUCUACCAGAACACGUCCGACGGUGAGGGAUGAAAGCUGGGGGAGCAAACCGGAUUAGAUACCCCGGUAGUC